rnacentral:rRNA from 1 species
UACGUAGGGUGCAAGCGUUGUCCGGAAUUAUUGGGCGUAAAGGGCGCGUAGGCGGUUUUGCACGUCUGAUGUGAAAUCCCUGGGCUCAACCCAGAGUCUGCAUUAGAAACUGUCGGGCUUGAGUAUGGGAGAGGUGAGUGGAAUUUCCGGUGUAGCGGUGAAAUGCGUAGAUAUCGGAAGGAACACCGGUGGCGAAAGCGGCUCACUGGACCAUAACUGACGCUGAGGCGCGAAAGCGAGGGGAGCAAACAGG